GAUGAACGCUCGCGGCGUGCCUAAUACAUGCAAGUCGAGCGAACAGACGAGGAGCUUGCUCCUCUGACGUUAGCGGCGGACGGGUGAGUAACACGUGGAUAACCUACCUAUAAGACUGGGAUAACUUCGGGAAACCGGAGCUAAUACCGGAUAAUAUAUUGAACCGCAUGGUUCAAUAGUGGAAGACGGUUUUGCUGUCACUUAUAGAUGGAUCCGCGCCGCAUUAGCUAGUUGGUAAGGUAACGGCUUACCAAGGCAACGAUGCGUAGCCGACCUGAGAGGGUGAUCGGCCACACUGGAACUGAGACACGGUCCAGACUCCUACGGGAGGCAGCAGUAGGGAAUCUUCCGCAAUGGGCGAAAGCUUGACGGAGCAACGCCGCGUGAGUGAUGAAGGUCUUCGGAUCGUAAAACUCUGUUAUUAGGGAAGAACAAAUGUGUAAGUAACUAUGCACGUCUUGACGGUACCUAAUCAGAAAGCCACGGCUAACUACGUG
rnacentral:rRNA from 1 species